CCUACGGGUGGCAGCAGUGAGGAAUAUUGGUCAAUGGGCGAGAGCCUGAACCAGCCAAGUCGCGUGAAGGAAGACGGUCCUACGGGUUGUAAACUUCUUUUGUCAGGGAGCAAUUGAGUCUACGUGUGGGCUUAGCGAGAGUACCCUAAGAAAAAGCAUCGGCUAACUCCGUGCCAGCAGCCGCGGUAUUACGGAGUAGGCGAGCGUUAUCCGGAUUUAUUGGGUUAAAAGGGUGCGUAGGAGGACUAGCAAGUCAGCGGUAAAAAUUCGGGGCUCAACCGCGUCGUGCCGUUGAAACUGAUGUUCUUGAGUGGGCGAGAAGUAUGCGGAAUGCGUGGUGUAGCGGUGAAAUGCAUAGAUAUCACGCAGAACUCCGAUUGCGAAGGCAGCAUACCGGCGCCCAACUGACGCUGAAGCACGAAAGCGUGGGUAUCGAACAGGAUUAGAUACCCCUGUAGUC
rnacentral:rRNA from 1 species